GGGGGGGUAGUUCAGCGGACAGAACGCGCCAGUCGUCUCUUUAAAAAAUCUCGUCGAUGCCCACCUUCUCCGGGCCUGAAUGCCGGAGGGACUACAUCUUAACGGUGAGGACGCCGGUUCGAAUCCGGCCCGCCCCG
rnacentral:tRNA from 1 species